CAUGGUGGAGAACAUGGCUCAGGCUUGCCCAGGUGUGCCCUAUAUGCCAACAAGUAUUUCCUACUUCAGUGCUCCCUCUUCAUGGCAGUGUUUGUGCAGAAAGAUCCUUCUGCAACAACACAAUUGUGGAGCCUGAUGUGGAGGUUCCAGGCCCUUCAUCUGCAGAUUCCUCUGUGGCUCGAUCAGCCCUUCGUUUGACAACUUCUUUAGCAACAGCAUGGAAAACAGCAGAUACCCCCCUAGAAGCCAUGCAGC